rnacentral:rRNA from 1 species
UACGUAGGGUGCGAGCGUUAAUCGGAAUGACUGGGCGUAAAGGGUGCGUAGGUGGUUGGAUAAGUGAGCUGUGAAAUCCCCGGGCUUAACCUGGGAAUUGCAGCUCAUACUGUUUGACUAGAGUAGUUCAGAGGAGUGUGGAAUUUCCGGUGUAGCGGUGAAAUGCGUAGAGAUCGGAAAGAACACCAGUGGCGAAGGCGGCACUCUGGGAACAUACUGACACUGAGGCACGAAAGCGUGGGGAGCAAACAGG